rnacentral:rRNA from 1 species
UACGCCCUACGGGGGAAAGCAGGGGACCUUCGGGCCUUGCGCGAUUGGAUAUGCCCAGGUGGGAUUAGCUAGUUGGUGAGGUAAAUGGCUCACAAGGCGACGAUCCCUAGCUGGUCUGAGAGGAUGAUCAGCCACACUGGAACUGAGACACGGUCCAGACUCCUACGGGAGGCAGCAGUGGGGAAUAUUGCACAAUGGGGGAAACCCUGAUGCAGCCAUGCCGCGUGUGUGAAGAAGGCCUUCGGGUUGUAAAGCACUUUCAGCGAGGAGGAAAGGUCAGUAGCUAAUAUCUGCUGACUGUGACGUUCACUCGCCAGAACAAGCACCGGCUAACUCCGUGCCCAAGCAGCCCAGGCGGGGUCAAANUAACCGGGACGGGGUGCCAAAGNACGCCUACAACACCCNGCGAAAUUUCACCUGGGGAGCCGGUCACAAAGGCACGCCAACGGACAAGGCCGGGACCAGGGAANUCAAAGCUUCCGACCAUCGCUCGANAACAAGCCCCCAGGCGGCCAUCCAAAUACCACUCGGGCAANNCUCGGCACCUCUACAAACACACACACGAACGGGGCCAACCACACGCCUCAACACAAACNCCCC